GUCGGAUUAGCUAGUUGGUGGGGUAAAGGCCUACCAAGGCGACGAUCCGUAGCUGGUCUGAGAGGAUGAUCAGCCACACUGGGACUGAGACACGGCCCAGACUCCUACGGGAGGCAGCAGUGGGGAAUUUUGGACAAUGGGGGCAACCCUGAUCCAGCCAUUCCGCGUGAGUGAAGAAGGCCUUCGGGUUGUAAAGCUCUUUCGGACGGAACGAAACGGUCAGGACCAAUACUUCUGACUAAUGACGGUACCGUAAGAAGAAGCACCGGCUAACUACGUGCCAGCAGCCGCGGUAAUACGUAGGGUGCGAGCGUUAAUCGGAAUUACUGGGCGUAAAGCGUGCGCAGGCGGUUAUUUAAGACAGGUGUGAAAUCCCCGGGCUUAACCUGGGAAUUGCGCUUGUGACUGGAUAGCUAGAGUGCGGCAGAGGGGGGUGGAAUUCCACGUGUAGCAGUGAAAUGCGUAGAGAUGUGGAGGAACACCGAUGGCGAAGGCAGCCCCCUGG
rnacentral:rRNA from 1 species